GACGAACGCUGGCGGCGUGCUUAACACAUGCAAGUCGAACGGAAAGGCCCUGCUUUGGUGGGGUGCUCGAGUGGCGAACGGGUGAGUAACACGUGAGUAACCUGCCCUUGACUUUGGGAUAACUUCAGGAAACUGGGGCUAAUACCGGAUAGGAGCUCCUGCUGCAUGGUGGGGGUUGGAAAGUUUCGGCGGUUGGGGAUGGACUCGCGGCCUAUCAGCUUGUUGGUGGGGUAGUGGCUUACCAAGGCUUUGACGGGUAGCCGGCCUGCGAGGGUGACCGGCCACAUUGGGACUGAGAUACGGCACAGACUCCUACGGGAGGCAGCAGUGGGGAAUAUUGCACAAUGGGCGGAAGCCUGAUGCAGCAACGCCGCGUGCGGGAUGACGGCCUUCGGGUUGUAAACCGCUUUCGCCUGUGACGAAGCGUGAGUGACGGUAAUGGGUAAAGAAGCACCGGCUAACUACGUG
rnacentral:rRNA from 1 species